rnacentral:rRNA from 1 species
AGCGAACGCUAGCGGCGGGCCUAACACAUGCAAGUCGAGCGCAUACCUUCGGGUAUGAGCGGCGGACGGGUGAGUAACACGUAGGUAAUCUACCCUUUGGUGGGGAAUAACCCGGGGAAACUCGGGCUAAUGCCGCACGAGGUCUACGGAUCAAAGCCUUCGGGCGCCAGAGGAUGAGCCUGCGUUGCAUUACCUAGUUGGCGGGGUAACGGCCCACCAAGGGGACGAUGCAUAGCUGGUCUGAGAGGAUGAUCAGCCACACUGGGACUGAGACACGGCCCAGACUCCUACGGGAGGCAGCAGUGGGGAAUAUUGCGCAAUGGGGGGAAACCCUGACGCAGCUACGCCGCGUGGGUGAUGAAGGCCUUCGGGUUGUAAAGCCCUGUCGGGAGGGACGAAGUACUGACGGUACCUCCCCAAGAAAGCACCGGCUAACUCCGUGCCAGCAGCCGCGGUAAU